GUGCUGACCGUGGUGGCUGAGAGGCUACAGGAGGCACUGAGGGGUGCUGGGGGCUUGAUGCCACCAAGGACCCCAGACCAAGUCAUCUUUUUUUUCUCGCUCAGCUUUGAAGGGAAGUUAAAGACAAAGAGGAAGAGGCUGUAUUUCAUUCUCCCAGAUGGCUCCUGCCAGCCUCCAGAGAAAAGGCAGCUUUCUUCUUUAGAAAAUUGGCAGGACAAAAGAAGGAAGUCGACUUGGAAAGUCCAGCGACAGACCUCGUGCCCCUGCUCUGGGAGGCCGCAGGUCAAUGGCUCCCCCUGGCUUCAGGGGACACAGCUCAAGCCUGGAAGGAGCCCAUGGCCAGCCUGAAAGCCUUGCUCACACCCAGCAUCCGCAGCUGGGGCAAGAGCGGCUACUCCCAAGACAGGAAAAGACACACAGCCUAACUUUGCCACUGUGAAGGGAGACUUCUCUCUAAUGCCUAACUAGACACUUAUCUUCCAACCUCCUCAAAAUGCCUUCAAUAGAAGUCCCAGGAAGACACGGAGCCCCAGCCGCCCACUGACUCCUACAGGAUGCAGCUGCGCCAGGCAGCCCAUCCCAGGGGGCCCAGGCCAAAGAGGGGCCAGGGUGCUUCCCCUGAGAAUGAAAAGGGAUGUCGGGUAGAGGGGGAGGGUGAUGUGGGACUCGCUGGUGGCUGUUAAAGGAGCUCGCGUCUCGGUUCCUGCAGGAAAAGUGCUUUGAGCACUCGCCUGGCCUGGUGAAGAAGGAAGGCAGUUGGCGGGCAUUUUUGGAAGCUCUCACCCCCCAUGCUGGUCCUGGUACCCCUUCUCCAGGGAUGCGGGGCCCACAUUCAUCACAGUGGGGUUCCAUAGAUGAUGGUCCUGUCAUAUCAGGGUUCCCAUUGAAGGGGGCCCUUUUUGGCACUUUCUUUUAUUCCAUUAGUCUGUUUGCCUGGUCACACAUUUUAUUGCUUUUUCCCGCAAAAGAAUCAAUGUGGGAAUUUAUUUAUUUAUUUAUUGAGACGGAGUCUCACUCUGUCACCCAGGCUGGAGUGCAGUGGUGCAAUCUCAGCUCACUGCAACCUCCGCCUCCCUGGUUCAAGCAAUUCUCCUGCCUCAGCUUCCCAAGUAGCUGGAAUUACAGGCAUCUGCCACCAUGCCCGGCUAAUUUUUUGUAUUUUUUGUAUUUUUUUUUUUUUCUGAGAUGGAGUCUCUCUGUGUUGCCUAAGCUGGAGUACAGUGGCGUGAUCUCAGCUCAUUGCAACUUCUGCCUCCCAGGUUCAAGCAAUUCUUCCUGCCUCAGCCUCCCAAGUAGGUGGAAUUACAGGUGCCCACUACCAUGCCUGGCUAAUUUUUGUAUUUUUUAGUAGAGACGGGAUUUCACCACAUUGGCCAGAUUGGUCUUGAACUCCUGACCUCAUGAUCCACCUACCUUGGCCUCCCAAAGUGCUGGGAUUACAGGUGUGAGCCACUGCACCUGGCUGAUUUUUUAUAUUUUUAGUAGAGACGGGUUUCACCAUGUUAGCCAGGAUGGUCGCAAUCUCCUGACCUCGUGAUCCACCCACCUUGGCCUCCCAAAGUGCUGGGAUUACAGGUGUGAGCCACUGCGCCCAGCCAGGAAUUUAUUUUUAAAUUAAAUUUGAUUUAUUUAGUUUCCUAACCCUUUUAUUGUUUUUAGGCAAUUUUUUGAAGUAUAAUAUGAAUAAGAAAAUUAUGGUGAAUUGUUACAGCAUCGAGACCUCCAAGACCAGGACAUAGAACAAUCCCAGCCCCCAGAAACCUCCACCCCAUAAGGCUCCACAACCCCUCUUCUAACACACAGAUUACCUUCAGCUCUUCUUGAACUUCAUAUAAGUGUGAAACUCACCCAUGCUGUUGAACACAGCACUGUUUCAUUCAUGUAAGCGGCCUUAUAGUAUUCCAUUAUGUGAACGCAGUUUAUUAUCCGUUCUGUUAAUCACAGUAGUUUUUACCUGUUGUGAGUAAGGGUGUCACAAACAGCCUCAUGUGUACUUUGUGGCAGAUGGAAUUCUUGUACAGAUGUGGAACAUACACUGGAUUUGAAGUGCUGGGUUAUAGAGUAUGCACAUGCUCAGCUUUAUCAAACAGGGCUUAACAGCUUUUCAGAGUGGCUGUGCCAACUCACACUCUCCAACAGUCUAUGGGAGUUCCAGUUGCCCCACACCCUUGCCACCACUUGCAAUUGUCAGCUGUAAAUUUUAGCCAUUUUGUCGGGUGUAUAUUGGUAUUUUAUUGUGUUUUUGAUACUCGUUGCUCCCGCAAUCGUUGAAGUUGAGCACGGUUGUAUAUGCUUAUUGGCAAUUUGGAUACUGUCUUUGCGUUUUCAAAAAUUGGGUUUUUGUCUUUUAUUGAUUUGUAGAAUUUCUUUAUUCUGAAUUUGAGUUCUUAGUUGUGCUUGUGUGUGUGCACAUAGUAAACACACACACAGGUUAAAAUAAUUGGGAGAUCAUUAGAAUGAGAUGACCCCAGCGCCUUGGGUUUCAACUCAAGCAAACCAAAGUCCAUCUCAGUGUACAUGGUUAUAGUUCAGGUAAGCAGAAACCACCGGCUGAUCUCUAACACGGGGCUUUUGACUGGAAUGAUUUCUUUCCCUUUCUUUCUCUUUCUUUCUUUCUCUCUUUCUCUCUUUCUUUCUCUCUUUCUCUCUUCCUUUCUUUUUUUCUUUC
rnacentral:lncRNA from 1 species